CAAAUUCCUAGGUCAAGAGAUCUUCCACCUUGGCCUCCUGAGUGGCUGGGACUACAGGAGAUCACCUUUUCAAAGCUGAAUAUCAAAGUCAGAAAAUCAACUAAAUGAAAGGUUUCUCUGUCACCCAGGCUGGAAUGCAAUGGCGUGAUUAUAGCUCAAUGCAUCUUCAUCUCCCUGGGCUCAAGCAAUCUUCCAAGCUCAGCCUCCCAAGUAGCUGGAACUACAGGUAGGUGCCACAAUGUCCAGUUAAUGUUUAAUUUUUUUUUUUUUUUUUUUUUUUUUGCAGAGAUGUGGUCUCACUUUGCUGCCCAGGCUGUCCUGUAACUCCUGGGCUCAAGACUCCUGGGCGCAAACAAUCUUUUUACUUUGCCUCUCACAGUGGUGGGAUUACAGGCAUGGGCAACCAUGCCCGGCCAAGUAUUGUCUUUUUAUAGUGUGGUUUUGCUCAGUUUAAUUAUUAGUUCAAAUAGGUUUUUUGUAGAUGCCUCAAGGUUUUCUAACUAAACCCUCAUGUCAUCUGGAAGUAAAGAAGGUUUUACUCCUUUUCUUUUUUAAGCCAU
rnacentral:lncRNA from 1 species